CCUACGGGAGGCAGCAGUGGGGAAUAUUGCACAAUGGGCGCAAGCCUGAAGCAGCGACGCCGCGUGAAGGAAGAAGGAUCUCGGUAUGUAAACUUCUAUCAGCAGGGAAGAAAAUGACGGUACCUGACUAAGAAGCACCGGCUAACUACGUGCCGGCAGCCGUGGUAAUGCGGAGGGGGCAAGCGUUAUACGGAUUUACUGGGCGUAAAGGGGGCGUAGGCGGUGAGGCAAGUCAGAAGGGAAAGCCCGGAGCUCAACUGCGGGACUGCUUUUGAAACUGUAUGACUAGAGUGCAGGAGAGGUAAGUGGAAUGCGUGGUGUAGCGGUGAAAUGCGUAGAUAUCAGGAGGAACACCAGUGGCGAAGGCGGCUUACCGGACUGUAAAUGACGCUGAGGCUCGAAAGCGUGGGGAGCAAACAGGAUUAGAUACCCCUGUAGUC
rnacentral:rRNA from 1 species